UUGCAACCCCAUGGGCAGUGGCCUACCUAGCUCCUCCGUCCAUGGGAUUUUCCAGGCAAGAAUACUGGAGUGAGUUGCCAUUUCCUUCUCCAGGGGAUCUUCCCGACCCAGGGAUUGAACCCAGGUCUCCCACAUUGCAGGCAGACGCUUUACCCUCUGAGCCACCAGGGAAGCCCCAUGGAUGGUAUUAAGGAAUUAUUAAUACUUACUGAGCUCUUGCAGAACCUUGGCAACACACACAAAAAAAACAAGCAAACAAACCAAUGACUCUUUCAAGGUGCUGAAGAUUACCUAAAAAGGCUUGUCAGCAGAUCCAAGGCUUGUCAGCAGAUGACACAAGUAGACGUGAUGCCUGAUGCCCUGACUGAGGAUUCUUUCUGAUGAAAUACAAGCUACCCACCUGUGACUAAAGCUGCCCAUGAACUGCAAGAAGUGAAACUGGAAUAAACCCAGAAAAAUGUGAAACUUGCACAUGGUCAUCCCAAUGCAGCCGUGUUCCCACGGAAGAUGAUUUCCUGGGAUUUGGACAAGAGAGAAUAGACAAGCUUGGAAAUGUCAUCCUUUCUCAUGACUUUAGAGUAACCAAAAUAAUUUUUAACAGCAUUAAUUUUUGGCCUUUAAGUAAAUAUCUUUCUGAUAUUUGAUUUCGUAAUGCAGAACAGUGUAUUAAAAAAAUUGAAACCAUCACAUUGCUUGACUCCAUAAGCAAUACAUUUGAAAGCAUUUAUUUCAUGGCUACCCAAAUAUAUAUAU